AUUGAACGCUGGCGGCAUGCUUUACACAUGCAAGUCGAACGGCAGCGCGGGCUUCGGCCUGGCGGCGAGUGGCGAACGGGUGAGUAAUGCAUCGGAACGUGCCCAGUAGUGGGGGAUAGCCCGGCGAAAGCCGGAUUAAUACCGCAUACGACCUGAGGGUGAAAGCGGGGGACCGAAAGGCCUCGCGCUAUUGGAGCGGCCUAUGUCGGAUUAGCUAGUUGGUGGGGUAAAGGCUUACCAAGGCGACGAUCCGUAGCUGGUCUGAGAGGACGACCAGCCACACUGGAACUGAGACACGGCCCAGACUCCUAGGGGAGGCAGAAGUGGGGAAUUUUGGACAAUGGGGGCAACCUUGAUCCAGCCAUGCCGCGGGCGGGAAGAAGGCCUUCGAGUUGUAAACCGCUUUUGUUCGGGAAGAAAUCCUCUGGGCUAAUACCCCGGGGGGAUGACGGUACCGGAAGAAUAAGCACCGGCUAACUACGU
rnacentral:rRNA from 1 species